rnacentral:misc_RNA from 1 species
AAUGCGAUAAGUAAUGUGCAUUGCAGAAUUCAGUGAAUCAUCGAAUCUUUGAACGCACAUUGCGCCCGCCAGUAUUCUGGCGGGCAUGCCUGUCCGAGCGUCAUUUCAACCAUCAAGCCCCCGGGCUUGUGUUGGGGACCUGCGGCUGCCCGCAGGCCCUGAAAACCAGUGGCGGGCUCGCUGUCACACCGAGCGUAGUAGCAAUCACCUCGCUCAGGGCGUGCUGCGGGUUCCGGCCGUUAAACAGCCUUACAAAACCCAAGGUUGACCUCGGAUCAGGUAGGAAGACCCGCUGAACUUAAGC